GACGAACGCUGGCGGCGUGCUUAACACAUGCAAGUCGAACGAAGAGCGAUGGAAGCUUGCUUCUAUCAAUCUUAGUGGCGAACGGGUGAGUAACGCGUAAUCAACCUGCCCUUCAGAGGGGGACAACAGUUGGACACGACUGCUAAUACCGCAUACGAUCUAAUCUCGGCAUCGAGGAUAGAUGAAAGGUGGCCUCUACAUGUAAGCUAUCACUGAAGGAGGGGAUUGCGUCUGAUUAGCUAGGUGGAGAGGUAACGGCCCACCCAGGCGAUGAUCGGUAGCCGGUCUGAGAGGGUGAACGGCCACAUUGGGACUGAGACACGGCCCAGACUCCUACGGGAGGCAGCAGUGGGGGAUCUUCCGCAAUGGACGAAAGUCUGACGGGGCAACGCCGCGUGAGUGAUGACGGCCUUCGGGUUGUAAAGCUCUGUUAAUCGGGACGAAAGGCCUUCUUGCGAAUAGGGAGAAGGAUUGACGGUACCGGAAUAGAAAGCCACGGCUAACUACGUG
rnacentral:rRNA from 1 species